UGGAAAAUCACCAAACCUUUUAUGCUUCCCGAAGCCCCCAUAAAGACAAGAUACACACCGACAAUGGCUUAAACAGUUCUUGUUUGUAAAGGGCUACACAGUGGCAUACACCCUGACUUCAAGGUGAGAUUGGACAGGGACACAUCAGUGGCUGCUGUAAUCUGCAGCCUGUUCGCAACAUGUGUUUGCAGACCUCCUUAAGGCAAGGCAGGGUACGUUUAUUUAUAUACUAUCUAUUUAUAUACUAUCAGUAGCCACUACAUGUCCCCAUCCCAGGGGGAUCAACCGCAGUGACUGCAGAGCGAGGGGGAGUGGAGGGACACACCUUAUUUAUCCCUCCUACUCAGAGAAAAGAAAAGAAAGAGAAAAGAAAA